GGUAUCAUGACCGUGCGAAGGUAGCAUAAUCAUUAGUCUCUUAAUUGGGGGCUGGAAUGAAUGGUUGGACGAGAAAUUAGCUGUCUUAGUUUUGAAAAUUGAAUUUAACUUUUAAGUGAAAAGGCUUAAAUGGGCUAGAGGGACGAUAAGACCCUAUAAAGUUUGUACAUUAAACUAAUUUAAGGUGGUUUGGGUUUAUAAAGUUUGUCAUUAGGAAAGUGUUUAGUUGGGGCGAUUGGGAUAUAAGUUAUAUAACUGUUUCUUUGUUUGAAUCAAAAAUAUUUGAGUUUAUGAUCCUUUUUUAGGAUUAAAGAGUAAAUUACUUUAGGGAUAACAGCGUAAUUUUUUUUGAGAGUUCUUAUCGAUAAGAGAGUUUGCGACCUCGAUGUUGAAUUAAAAUUUC
rnacentral:rRNA from 1 species